rnacentral:rRNA from 1 species
AUUGAACGCUGGCGGCAGGCCUAACACAUGCAAGUCGAGCGGUAGAGAGGUGCUUGCAUCUCUUGAGAGCGGCGGACGGGUGAGUAAUGCCUAGGAAUCUGCCUAGUGGUGGGGGAUAACGUUCGGAAACGGACGCUAAUACCGCAUACGUCCUACGGGAGAAAGCGGGGGAUCUUCGGACCUCGCGCCAUUAGAUGAGCCUAGGUCGGAUUAGCUAGUUGGUGAGGUAAUGGCUCACCAAGGCGACGAUCCGUAACUGGUCUGAGAGGAUGAUCAGUCACACUGGAACUGAGACACGGUCCAGACUCCUACGGGAGGCAGCAGUGGGGAAUAUUGGACAAUGGGCGAAGCCUGAUCCAGCCAUGCCGCGUGUGUGAAGAAGGUCUUCGGAUUGUAAAGCUCUUUUACCCGGGAUGAUAAUGACAGUACCGGGAGAAUAAGC